UUGUUAAGUUCCCUUCUUCAGUCUUCUCUUAAGCUGAAAGUCCAACGAUUUCAAGAUUCAAUUAAUUAGAGACAUGGAGAGCCAAAGAACAAGGUAAAAGCUACGUUCCUUCUAACUGAAGACACACUUAGUAAUUGGCCUCUUAUUAAAAUGGAUAUCUUCUGGGUGUAUGUUUAAUAAGGUUGAUAAAAGUCGUCAUUUCCUCAUUAGGACAGUGGAUGAAUAUACUCUCAGUGCUCGUGUUUAGAAAAGAAGGGAACAAAUAUAAAAAUAGCGCUGUCUUAAAAUGUAGGAAUGUAAAAUAUUAAAACGGAGAAGCCUGGGGCUGAUCCUCUGGGGUAGGAAGAGAGGAAAUUACCAUGUGUCUGUCUAUGCGUAUGCAAACACAAGAAAAGCAAAGGGAAAGGAGUUUACUGGGUGCUUCACUUUCUCAUUUUAUCUGAAUAGGCAAAAUAUAGAAAGCCUUUGAGCUCCACGACACGGACUACCACUGGCUCGUUAACAUGACUUUUUGUCUGGAGGAACAAGUCCUCCUGUCCAUCAAAAAUGAGCCUGAGUGUGCCACUCAUCUGUUGUAAUAUGAAAGAUUUCUGUGAAUCAAUAUGUGGUCAACAGCAGAAGUUACUUCUUGCAGGAGAUACCCUACAGAAAGACAAGUGUAAGAGGUUCACUUUCUAUUCUUUCCACUGAAGCUUUGAGAAGAAAAAACCAUAAGAAAACAUGACGACUAGACAAACUGUUGGAGUGUUAACUUAGGAGAAACAUGUGAGUUCUAAUCCCUUGAUUCAAAGCCUGUUUAUGUAUUUCAUGUUAAAUCUAAACAACCAUAGAAACAACUUCAGCUUAUGUGUAUUUAUAUUAACUCUGGGAAUUGUUAAAACUGCAAAGGAAAAACAUAAACAGA
rnacentral:lncRNA from 1 species